rnacentral:lncRNA from 1 species
AAACAGCCACCUCAGUUCUCUUUUACUGCCCUAUCCUUUCGCCGGGUUUCUCCUUUCAACCUUGAGAGAUAACUGACAUGGGCUUAGGAUACUCAGUCAUUCUGGAAUUCUGUAUCAGCACUGAAACAUGAGUGGGGAAAUUCUAAGAAAUUUACUUCUCUUUUUCUUUUCAUAUUUUCCUCAUUCCAAAGUGGAACUAAAUCGAGGUUCCCUAGCAACCCAGGGCUCUGUGAAGAUUCAUUAUUCUAUAAAAUCCCACCACCUUACAAACACAAAAUGUUACAAGUUGCCCAGUCACCCCGGCUUCUGAGAUGAAGAAUAUUAUUGAAGUCAAAUCUGGUGGCUAUCACACUCCAUGGAACUUGGGGCAACAUUUAGGUACCUCUACCCAGGAAAGAAUCUCUGAGAAAUAGGUGGCAGUUUCUCUAGCAGCAUAAGAAGAACCUUGAUAAGCAUCAUCCUUAAGUCCUGACAGCAGUGGAUGACUAGUCAGGAACCUGUCCAGAUAAUGAUUGAUACACCUCCCAUGCCCCACCUCUCACCCAGGACAGGAUCGAAGUGUUGGGGGAGCCACAACCUGCUUCACCUAGAAAGAGGACAUUGACAUGGAUCUGCCAGCUUUCUAAGACUUUCCCCAGAUUCAAGUCCAGUCACAUCAAGUUGCCUUAUUAAAGGGUCUGCCCACUCAAAAGGAGAAAGUGCAAAAGAUGCUCAGCAAGAUUUGCACCCCUAUUGCUGGCACUGGGUGGACCUCCCCAAACGCUCUGCCCUUGGUGCUCUUCUGCCGGUUAUUCUCGUCCAUGACCCCAGAGCCAGGGAGAAUCUCACCAGUGCAGCCCAGGGCACUUCUGAUAACAUCUGAGCAGAGUGAAGGAGAAGAAACGCACGAGGCAGGCAUCUCAUUUAUGGAAGUGCUCCUCUGGGUCAAGCCCUCUGCCAAUAAUUUUCAUGCAUAAUGGCCCUUUCAUUCUCCCCAAAAAUUCUUCAAGGGAGGGUGAUAAUCCCAGGAUAUGGAAACAAGGAAAAGCAGACUACAAGAAGUUAAGUGACCUCCCCAAUGACCCGCUGCUCAUAAAUGGUAGUAUCAGAAUUAAAACCCAGAUGAGGCUGCCCA